CUUGAAUACUUUUCUAGGACGUUGAAAGGAGCCACCAAUAAUAGUGAAUUUAAUUUCCAUCCAAAGUGUGCUCCACUAAAGAUUACGCAUUUGGCUUUUGCGAAUGAUUUGAUGUUAUUUGCUAGAGGUGAUGCUACUUCGAUUAGUAUUUUGAUGAAUUGCUUUGCUACUUUUGGUAACAUGUCGGGGCUUAAGAUAAAUGUUGACAAGUCUAACUUGUACAUGGCGGGGGUUUAUGGCCAAGAGAUGGAGAAUAUUCUUGAGAUUGCUAGCAUCCCCAAAGGUUGUAUGCCUUUUCGCUACUUGGGCAUUCUGCUUGCAGCGAAAGGGUUGAAAAUCAACACUUAUCAACAAAGUCACAGCUUAUAUUGGUGUUUGGUCUAAGGCGUCGUUAUCUUAUGCGUGAAGAAGGGAACUUGUGAGGGCCGUGCUUCAAGGGGUUGUAUUUUUUUGGUCAUCCAUUUUCCCUAUUCCGGCUACGGUUGUUUCUAGGGUUAUAUCUCGUCGUCGAAAUUUUCUUUGGAAAUCUAACAAGCCAUUGGUUUCAUGGAGCAAUAUUUGCCUACCAAAGGAUGAAGGUGGACUUGGCCUUAGGGAUAUCAAAAGCUAGAACUCUG
rnacentral:lncRNA from 1 species